rnacentral:rRNA from 1 species
AGGUGGUUAUGGCGCAGAUGCCCCACCCGAUUCCAUCCCGAACUCGGCCGUGAAAAUCUCUGGCGCUGAUGGUACUUUGUCUUAAGGCACGGGAGGCUAAGUCGCUGCCU